rfam:Salmo salar isolate Sally breed double haploid chromosome ssa18, whole genome shotgun sequence.
UGCACUCACUACUGUAAGUCGCUCUGGAUAAGAGUGUCUACUAGAUGACAAAAA